rnacentral:rRNA from 1 species
GACGAACGCUGGCGGCGUGCCUAAUACAUGCAAGUUGAGCGCUGAAGGUUGGUACUUGUACCAACUGGAUGAGCAGCGAACGGGUGAGUAACGCGUGGGGAAUCUGCCUUUGAGCGGGGGACAACAUUUGGAAACGAAUGCUAAUACCGCAUAAAAACUUUAAACACAAGUUUUAAGUUUGAAAGAUGCAAUUGCAUCACUCAAAGAUGAUCCCGCGUUGUAUUAGCUAGUUGGUGAGGUAAAGGCUCACCAAGGCGAUGAUACAUAGCCGACCUGAGAGGGUGGUCGGCCAAAAUGGGACUGAGACACGGCCCAAACUCCUACGGGAGGCAGCAGUAGGGAAUCUUCGGCAAUGGACGAAAGGCUGACCGAGCAACGCCGCGUGAGUGAAGAAGGUUUUCGGAUCGUAAAACUCUGUUGGUAGAGAAGAACGUUGGUGAGAGUGGAAAGCUCAUCAAGUGACGGUAACUACCCAGAAAGGGACGGCUAACUACGUG